GACGAACGCUGGCGGCGUGCUUAACACAUGCAAGUCGAACGGAAAGGCCCUGCUUUUGUGGGGUGCUCGAGUGGCGAACGGGUGAGUAACACGUGAGUAACCUGCCCUUGACUUUGGGAUAACUUCAGGAAACUGGGGCUAAUACCGGAUAGGAGCUCCUGCUGCAUGGUGGGGGUUGGAAAGUUUCGGCGGUUGGGGAUGGACUCGCGGCUUAUCAGCUUGUUGGUGGGGUAGUGGCUUACCAAGGCUUUGACGGGUAGCCGGCCUGAGAGGGUGACCGGCCACAUUGGGACUGAGAUACGGAGCAGACUCCUACGGGAGGCAGCAGUGGGGAAUAUUGCACAAUGGGCGGAAGCCUGAUGCAGCAACGCCGCGUGCGGGAUGACGGCCUUCGGGUUGUAAACCGCUUUCGCCUGUGACGAAGCGUGAGUGACGGUAAUGGGUAAAGAGGCACCGGCUAACUACGUG
rnacentral:rRNA from 1 species